CCUACGGGGGGCAGCAGUGGGGAAUAUUGCGCAAUGGGGGCAACCCUGACGCAGCCAUGCCGCGUGAAUGAAGAAGGCCUUCGGGUUGUAAAGUCCUUUCGGUAGCGAGGAAGGCAUUUAGUUUAAUAGACUAAGUGAUUGACGCUAACUACAGAAGAAGCACCGGCUAACUCCGUGCCAGCAGCCGCGGUAAUACGGAGGGUGCGAGCGUUAAUCGGAAUAACUGGGCGUAACGGGCACGCAGGCGGUGACUUAAGUGAGGUGUGAAAGCCCCGGGCUUAACCUGGGAAUUGCAUUUCAUACUGGGUCGCUAGAGUACUUUAGGGAGGGGUAGAAAUCCACGGGUAGCGGUGAAAUGCGUAGAGAUGUGGAGGAAUACCGAAGGCGAAAGCAGCCCCUUGGGAAUGUACUGACGCUCAUGUGCGAAAGCGUGGGGAGCAAACAGGAAUAGAUACCCUUGGUAGUC
rnacentral:rRNA from 1 species